rnacentral:rRNA from 1 species
UACGAAGGGGGGCUAGCGUUGCUCGGAAUGACUGGGCGUAAAGAGCUCGUAGGUGGUUUGUCGCGUUGUCCGUGAAAACUCACAGCUUAACUGUGGGCGUGCGGGCGAUACGGGCAGACUGGAGUACUGCAGGGGAGACUGGAAUUCCUGGUGUAGCGGUGGAAUGCGCAGAUAUCAGGAGGAACACCGGUGGCGAAGGCGGGGUCUCUGGGCAGUAACUGACGCUGAGGAGCGAAAGCCGUGGGGGAGCGAACAGG